rnacentral:rRNA from 1 species
CCUACGGGGUGCAGCAGUGGGGAAUAUUGCACAAUGGGCGCAAGCCUGAUGCAGCCAUGCCGCGUGUAUGAAGAAGGCCUUCGGGUUGUAAAGUACUUUUAGCGGGGAGGGAGGUGUUGUGUUUAAUAACCGCAGCAAUGGACGUUACCCGCAGAAGAAGCACCGGCUAACUCCGUGCCAGCAGCCGCGGUAAUACGGAGGGUGCAAGCGUUAAUCGGAAUUACUGGGCGUAAAGCGCACGCAGGCGGUCUGUCAAGUCGGAUGUGAAAUCCCCGGGCUCAACCUGGGAACUCCAUUCGAAACUGGCAGGCUUGAGUCUUGUAGAGGGGGGUAGAAUUCCAGGUGUAGCGGUGAAAUGCGUAGAGAUCUGGAGGAAUACCGGUGGCGAAGGCGGCCCCCUGGACAAAGACUGACGCUCAGGUGCGAAAGCGUGGGGAGCAAACAGGAUUAGAUACCCGGGUAGUC